CAGUCGCCACGGUAAUACGGAGGGUGCAAGCGUUAAUCGGAAUUACUGGGCGUAAAGCGCACGCAGGCGGUCUGACAAGUCAGAUGUGAAAUCCCCGGGCUUAACCUGGGAACUGCAUUUGAAACUGUCAGGCUGGAGUCUUGUAGAGGGGGGUGGAAUUCCAGGUGUAGCGGUGAAAUGCGUAGAGAUCUGGAGGAAUACCGGUGGCGAAGGCGGCCCCCUGGACAAAGACUGACGCUCAGGUGCGAAAGCGUGGGGAGCAAACAGGAUUAGAGACCCCUGUAGUCCCUGUCUCUUAUAC
rnacentral:rRNA from 1 species